rnacentral:rRNA from 1 species
GGUCGAUGGUCUUUCGCCCUAUACUCAAUUCUGACAAUCGAUUUGCACGUCAGAACUGUUUCGGUCUUCCAUCAGAGUUUCCCCUGACUUCAACCUGAUCAAGUAUAGUUCACCAUCUUUCGGGUCACAGCAUAUGUGCUCAAGGUACGCUCUAGUUAGAGGCAUAAAUAAUAUAAAAUAUUAUUAUACAUAACUGUAUAGAACGCCCCGGGAUUGUAUUAAUUAUCUAAUAAAAUUAGAUUAAAAAUUAAUCCCAUUUAAAUCAGUUAAGUUAAUUACGCCUUUGGGUUUCGUUAUGAUUCCCAAUGACUUGCACAUAUGUUAGACUCCUUGGUCCGUGUUUCAAGACGGGUCCCGAAGGUAUCCUGAAUCUUUCGCAUUGUAAAUCAUAUAUGCGCAUAUAAUAAUAUAAAUGAAUAAAUUCAAAUAUAUAUUAUAAAAUUCAUAAAAUGAAUUUAAGCACAAUAUAUAAUAAAUCUAUCAACACUUUAUCAAAUCACCAGAGCAUUUAUUCUAUGUUGAAUAAAUCGAAAUCUAUCAAUUUGAAUAAACUUAAGCCCAAAAUGAUCUUAUGAUAAAUUGUAAAUAAAAUACAUGUUAAUAGAUUACAAUGUCCUUAUAUGGGAAAAAUGCACACUAUUACAAUAAUAUUAUUUUAAAUAUUAUAUGUUAUAAUGAUGAAUUUCCCAUAAUGGAUAUUCAGGUUCAUCGGGCUUAACCUCUAAGCAGUUUCACGUACUAUUUAACUCUCUAUUCAGAGUUCUUUUCAACUUUCCCUCACGGUACUUGUUUACUAUCGGUCUCAUGGUUAUAUUUAGUUUUAGAUGGAGUUUACCACCCACUUAGUGCUGCACUAUCAAGCAACACGACUCUUUGGAAACAUCUUCUAGCAAUCAUCAAUGUUAUACGGGCCUGGCACCCUCUUUGGGUAAAUGGCCUCAUUUAAGAAGGACUUAAAUCAUCAAUUUUUCAUACUAGAAUAUAGAUGUUCCAUACACUGCAUCUCACAUUUGCCAUAAAGACAAAGUGACUUAGUGCUGAACUAUU